rnacentral:rRNA from 1 species
GACGAACGCGGCGGCGUGCCUAAUACAUGCAAGUAGAACGCUGAAGGAGGAGCUUGCUCUUCUGGAUGAGUUGCGAACGGGUGAGUAACGCGUAGGUAACCUGCCUGGUAGCGGGGGAUAACUAUUGGAAACGAUAGCUAAUACCGCAUAAUAGUAGAUGUUGCAUGACAUUUGCUUGAAAGGUGCAAUUGCAUCACUACCAGAUGGACCUGCGUUGUAUUAGCUAGUUGGUGGGGUAACGGCUCACCAAGGCGACGAUACAUAGCCGACCUGAGAGGGUGAUCGGCCACACUGGGACUGAGACACGGCCCAGACUCCUACGGGAGGCAGCAGUAGGGAAUCUUCGGCAAUGGACGGAAGUCUGACCGAGCAACGCCGCGUGAGUGAAGAAGGUUUUCGGAUCGUAAAGCUCUGUUGUAAGAGAAGAACGAGUGUGAGAGUGGAAAGUUCACACUGUGACGGUAUCUACCA